UUCCCACUGCUCGGCUCAAAUAUUGAAUUAUUCAUUUCAUAAAAUCGACUAAGAGAUAUGAUAUAAUCAAUCGAUUGAUUAAAGUGAUAUAUAACACAAUCAGUACUUUUUUAUAAUUUAAAUAUAUCUUAAAUUUAGUUCGUGAUAUAAAAAUAUUUACAAAAUUUCAUUGAAUAGAUUUUUGAGAUAAUUUUAUUGCAUAUUUUGAUAUCAAAAUCAGUUAUCUAAACCUAGACAGUUUGUUUAAUACUCAAGUAGCAGCACACUCGAAUGAUUUGAACGGAAAUUGGGACGUCUAGAUUUAGCAUGAAACGCGCUUAUUUGUGUUCAGAAGCUAGGUAAUUAGGAUGGGUUGUAGUAAAACCUUAUAAUCAUUUUUUUUGUAGUGGAAUUAUUUGUCUUUCUUUCUGAAAUCAAAUGCAAGUUCGAAUUUUAUUUUUGAGGUGAGUCAGUAACAUUGGUCAAGAUUAUUUAGAAACCUGCUGUCUAUAAUGGACAUUAUAUUGGUGUGCUGUCAAUAAAUAACAUGCAUGAAGAGUUACACUAAUUUGUCCAGUAAUACAUAAUAGUUGUAGCAUGAACACGUGAUGAAUAAUGUGCGUAAAAUUGCCAAGCUAGAGCGUCUGGGCAUUAUCUGAUUUAAUGCGGAUACUUUUCACUGUCCGAAGGUUCAAAGGUCAUCUUUUGUACAACGGUAUUCAUAGUUUUGGAACAAAACAACGCUUUACAGAAAACAUUUGCAAGGAUAUUAGCAUCAAUUCUUAAAAGGACGUAUGCACCAUUUUUAAGAAAGGAAACGUAAAAUAUAUCAAGGUUACUGGUGGUGAAAAUGAGCUGAAAAGAAAGAAACAGACCAGUAGUAAUAAAGAAAUCACAGCUGAGGUUGCUGUGAUUGAAUGGACAAAGAAAAGGGUGUUUAUUUGAAUUCUUGCUGAUAAUGGUAAAUGGAGUUUUCUAAAAGGCCAGUUGGAUGCGGUUUCAAUAUAAAGUUUGCAUUGCGAAAGCUUAACAAGAAAGAUGAACUUGAAAUUGACUUAAGUUAUAUGAUACCUAAUUUUUGUGAGAAAAUCAACAGAGACACAAAUUUAUUGGCGGCGACGGAAAGGGACUAUACCAUCAAACGUGUAACAGCUUACUUUACUCUAAGUAAAACACUGUUUGUUUUAAUUUAUGGACCAUCAUGAACAUAUGUUAUGAUCCGUAAUUGUGGCAUGUAUGCAAUUUUGCGUUUUGUUCAUAUCUGAUUCAUUUGAUUGAUAUUAUUGUGUUGUUUUAGAUGCUGUAUUGUAAACUUCUAUAUAACAGAAACUGAAUACAAAAUCUCUUGCACCAUUUAUAUAGUAAUUUGCCUUAUUAAUUAUAAAUGUCUACAUUUGAAAGGAACGAAAGUAAAUCAUUCUGCAAAUGUUGUAGCUAUUUCUAAAACUAAAUGUAUUCAAAAUACCAUUUCCACGUAAUAUUUCUGUUUCAGAACUCAUUUAAAUAGAACAUUAGAAAUCUAAUAUCUGAUUUACCUUUAAAUUGUUCUAUUUGUAUUAAAACAUAUAACAGGAUAUUGAACAGCUAACGCGCGUAUUAGUAUCGUUAUGUAAUACAGUUUAAAGCACGAACCGUUGUCUUACUAAUUAAAUUAACUAUUUUCUGUUGUAUAUAUUUUACUUGUUUUCCUAUUAUCAAAAUUGUUAACUGUAUGCAACAGGCCUUGCAAUUAGAUUGUUAAAUACUCUAGUGAUUGAACGGUACUUUUAUAUUGUUGAUUACAUGUAUAUUAUUAUUUUUGGAGGGACAUAUUUAUUUUAUAUCGAUGUGUAAUUUUUACAUUUUUGCAUGUUUUCUUACAAAAAAAUGUUAUAUUCUUACUUAAUGAACAUAUGUCAAUGUAUUUCGUCCUUUUAGAUAUUUGAGAAUUAUGUGUUUAGUAAUUUUACAUAUGUUGAAUUAGCAUGAAUGUUUUGGCGCGCUGCACCUAUUAGUUAAAGCUUUUUUAGUAUUCGUAGUACCCCAUAGUUUUUGUCUUACAUUAAAUCUCCGACAUUCCUACUGAAAAGAUCAAACCCAAUUACAUAAAUAUAUUAUAACACUAUUCCGUACGCGUAAAGCACUGUGUUUUUACACUUUUGACACGGACGCGCUUAAAUAGCAUAGUGAUCCUGCAUUAACCUGCCAUAAAACAAUACUAGGUUGUCUGGCAGCUAAAACCAACUCACUUAAAAACAAAUAUAUUUUUCGUAUGUCCAUCGAACUAUAAAAAAACGGUUUAAAUCAUAUCAUUAACGAAGGCCAAAUGUGUCAUAAUUUACUGAACUAGUGGUACAUGUAGACAGGUUAUUAUUAGAAAAUUAUCAGAAAUUAUUUAUAAUGCAUUCAUACUGAGAACACUGUUAUUGUAAAUAGUGUUAAACUUUUAGAUCUACGCAUCUAAAUAACAGUUCUGUGUGUCCCCCGUUAUAUGACUGAAAUACUGUUGAAAAGCGGCGUUUAAACCCAAACGAACAAACAAACUACCGUGUAUAGUUGUAAAAUGUACAAAACUCGUAUGUUUCAUGAAAAAUAAUUAUUGUAUUCAAACAUGCUUAAUUUUUACGUUGUUUGUAUCAAAUCAAAUAACAACAUCUUAAUGUAUAUGUUUCAAUGGUAUGACAAAAAAACUAGUGUUUACCUCGACAAAAUAUUAAAUAUCUUUCUGUCGGUCUGCUUUUAAUGAAAAGCAAUUGGCAAUAAGUAAGCUUUUGAUACAAGAUACAGAGCAUCAAAUAUCGGCAAAAUUUAUCACGAAACAGGAAAACAGAGGUUUCCAGCCAGUGUGUUUAUAUAAGUCAAACCUGUCUUUAAAAAACACCCUUAGGACAGCUAAAACGUGUUCUUAGAGCCAGGUGGUCUCUAUUCAAAGCCGGUCUUUAACAAAGGCUUGACUGUACACACCACAUGUACACAUUGCAAAGAUUUAUACUAGUUAUAUCUUGAACACACAAAAAUUUAAUUAAGUUUAAAUUGUUUAAAUAAAAGUACACCUUUUUAUUUAAUAUAUUCAGCGUUAAAACUGCAUAUUCCUGGCAAAUAAUAGGCUUUAAUGUCUAAACCGUCUGCUUAUGAGGUUCAUUCUUUAUUCCAGUUUUUGUGAUCUGACUAGCUUUUCCCGGCAAAUUAAUUUCUUUGGUAGUUUGGAAACUAUGAUUUACAAAGUUUUGCUUUAAAAUCUAAUUACACAAACCUAAUGAUAAAUAAUGUUUGUGAAUUUAUUAUUCGGUAGUUGAUUCGAAUGUUAAGCGUGCAUGUUUCAUAUUAAAAACCUGCAUUAGCGCUCGUUCGGCAUUUUAUAUGACAGUUGCGAGUUAAUUUGAAGUGCCCCGUUGAUCUAUUUACUAUUUGUUUCUUUUUAUACCUUACACUGACACAGAAGACAGUGUUUCGUGUGCUUGGUUUUGUAUUUGCUGAGUUUUAGAGUUGUAAUCCUUAGUCAAUGCAUCAGUUUGGGAAAGACCUAAACCGUUUAUUAUUUAAUGGAUUUGUGAUACUAUUAAGAAGUAAAUAGUCAUACACUUUACUACCUUACUAGACCAAGUUUGUUUAAAUUCUUGGAUUUAAUACUAUUUGAAAAAAAGAUGGAACUUGAUAGAUUAGCAUUAUACUGUAAAAUACACUGUGUAAGAUAAACUCUAUUCUGAAUUCUAUUACUUAAUAGUUUUAUACUGUUCAACCUCAACUGUUUACUGUUAUUGAGUUACCUAUUGAAAUGCAUAGUCAUUGAUUAUGUGAUAGCUGGCACUUGUAAAUAUGCUAUGUAUGCAUUGCGGGUGAUGUACAUUGUACAAGCCACAAUACGCUAUAUCCUUAGGCUGGCCAGUACAUAUUUAUGCAAUCUCGCCAGGCAUAUGUGUGUUUUUGACAACACAGAAAAUGACAUAACUGGACCUUCAGCUAUUUCCGGAAGUAAAUAAAAUGAAAGUAGAAAUGCUAAACUUGAAA
rnacentral:lncRNA from 1 species